CCGGAACCAUUUUGGUUCAAG
rnacentral:sRNA from 1 species